AGUGAACGCUGGCGGUAGGCCUAACACAUGCAAGUCGAACGGCAGCACAGUAAGAGCCUGCUCUUACGGGUGGCGAGUGGCGGACGGGUGAGGAAUACAUCGGAAUCUACUUUUUCGUGGGGGAUAACGUAGGGAAACUUACGCUAAUACCGCAUACGACCUACGGGUGAAAGCAUGGGAUCUUCGGACCUUGCGCGAUUGAAUGAGCCGAUGUCGGAUUAGCUAGUUGGCGGGGUAAAGGCCCACCAAGGCGACGAUCCGUAGCUGGUCUGAGAGGAUGAUCAGCCACACUGGAACUGAGACACGGUCAAGACUCCUAAGGGAGGCAGCAGUGGGGAAUAUUGGACAAUGGGCGCAAGCCUGAUCCAGCCAUACCGCGUGGGUGAAGAAGGCCUUCGGGUUGUAAAGCCCUUUUGUUGGGAAAGAAAAGCAGCAGGUUAAUACCCCGCUGUUCUGACGGUACCCAAAGAAUAAGCACCGGCUAACUUCGUG
rnacentral:rRNA from 1 species